GAUGAACGCUGGCGGCGUGCCUAAUACAUGCAAGUCGAGCGAACAGAUAAGGAGCUUGCUCCUUUGACGUUAGCGGCGGACGGGUGAGUAACACGUGGAUAACCUACCUAUAAGACUGGGAUAACUUCGGGAAACCGGAGCUAAUACCGGAUAACAUAUUGAACCGCAUGGUUCAAUAGUGAAAGGCGGCUUUGCUGUCACUUAUAGAUGGAUCCGCGCCGUAUUAGCUAGUUGGUAAGGUAACGGCUUACCAAGGCAACGAUACGUAGCCGACCUGAGAGGGUGAUAGGCCACACUGGAACUGAGACACGGUCCAGACUCCUACGGGAGGCAGCAGUAGGGAAUCUUCCGCAAUGGGCGAAAGCCUGACGGAGCAACGCCGCGUGAGUGAUGAAGGUCUUCGGAUCGUAAAACUCUGUUAUCAGGGAAGAACAAAUGUGUAAGUAACUGUGCACAUCUUGACGGUACCUGAUCAGAAAGCCACGGCUAACUACGUG
rnacentral:rRNA from 1 species